rnacentral:rRNA from 1 species
GACGAACGCUGGCGGCGUGCUUAACACAUGCAAGUCGAACGGUAAGGCCCUUCGGGGUACACGAGUGGCGAACGGGUGAGUAACACGUGGGUGAUCUGCCCUGCACUUCGGGAUAAGCCUGGGAAACUGGGUCUAAUACCGGAUAGGACCACUGCCUGCAUGGGUGGGGGUGGAAAGCUUUUGCGGUGUGGGAUGGGCCCGCGGCCUAUCAGCUUGUUGGUGGGGUGAUGGCCUACCAAGGCGACGACGGGUAGCCGGCCUGAGAGGGUGACCGGCCACACUGGGACUGAGAUACGGCCCAGACUCCUACGGGAGGCAGCAGUGGGGAAUAUUGCACGAUGGGCGCAGGCCUGCUGCAGCGACGCCGCGUGAGGGAUGACGGCCUUCGGGUUGUAAACCUCUUUCAGCACCGACGAAGCGCAAGUGACGGUAGGUGCAGAAGAAGGACCGGCCAACUACGUGCCAGCCGCCGCGGUAA